AUUGAACGCUGGCGGCAUGCUUUACACAUGCAAGUCGAACGGCAGCACGGACUUCGGUCUGGUGGCGAGUGGCGAACGGGUGAGUAAUACAUCGGAACGUGCCCAGUUGUGGGGGAUAACUACUCGAAAGAGUAGCUAAUACCGCAUGAGAACUGAGGUUGAAAGCAGGGGAUCGUAAGACCUUGCACAACUGGAGCGGCCGAUGGCAGAUUAGGUAGUUGGUGGGAUAAAAGCUUACCAAGCCGACGAUCUGUAGCUGGUCUGAGAGGACGACCAGCCACACUGGGACUGAGACACGGCCCAGACUCCUACGGGAGGCAGCAGUGGGGAAUUUUGGACAAUGGGCGAAAGCCUGAUCCAGCAAUGCCGCGUGCAGGAUGAAGGCCUUCGGGUUGUAAACUGCUUUUGUACGGAACGAAAAGCUUCGGGCUAAUACCCAUGGAGUCAUGACGGUACCGUAAGAAUAAGCACCGGCUAACUACGUGCCAGCCGCCGCAGUAACAC
rnacentral:rRNA from 1 species